rnacentral:piRNA from 1 species
UGGUUGGGAGGUCACCACGACAUGAGGAGC